GAUGAACGCUGGCGGCGUGCCUAAUACAUGCAAGUCGAGCGAACAGAUAAGGAGCUUGCUCCUUUGACGUUAGCGGCGGACGGGUGAGUAACACGUGGUUAACCUACCUAUAAGACUGGGAUAACUUCGGGAAACCGGAGCUAAUACCGGAUAACAUUUGGAACCGCAUGGUUCUAAAGUGAAAGAUGGUUUUGCUAUAACUUAUGGAGGGACCCGCGCCUAAUUAGCUAGUUGGUAAGGUAACGGCUUACCAAGGCAACGAUACGUAGCCGACCUGAGAGGGUGAUCGGCCACACUGGAACUGAGACACGGUCCAGACUCCUACGGGAGGCAGCAGUAGGGAAUCUUCCGCAAUGGGCGAAAGCCUGACGGAGCAACGCCGCGUGAGUGAUGAAGGGUUUCGGCUCGUAAAACUCUGUUAUUAGGGAAGAACAAACGUGUAAGUAACUGUGCACGUCUUGACGGUACCUAAUCAGAAAGCCACGGCUAACUACGUG
rnacentral:rRNA from 1 species